AUUGAACGCUGGCGGCAUGCCUAACACAUGCAAGUCGAACGGGGCAGCAAUGCCUAGUGGCGGACGGGUGAGGAAUACGUAGGAAUCUGCCCUUAAGUGGGGGAUAACCAGGGGAAACCCUGACUAAUACCGCAUGAUCUCUUCGGAGCAAAGAGGGGGACCGCAAGGCCUCUCGCUUCUGGAUGAGCCUACGUCUGAUUAGCUAGUUGGUAGGGUAAAGGCCUGCCAAGGCGACGAUCAGUAACUGGUCUGAGAGGAUGAUCAGUCACACCGGAACUGAGACACGGUCCGGACUCCUACGAGAGGCAGCAGUGGGGAAUAUUGGACAAUGGGCGCAAGCCUGAUCCAGCAAUGCCGCGUGUGUGAAGAAGGCCUUCGGGUUGUAAGGCACUUUAGCCUGGAAAGAAAAAACUUUGGUUAACACCCAAAGUCUUGACGGUACCAGGAGAAUAAGCACCGGCUAACUCUGUGCCAGCAGCCGCCGUAACAC
rnacentral:rRNA from 1 species